CACGAACCGUACGAACGUUAUUCGGAACUACUGGGCGUAAAGCGUGCGCAGGCGGUUUUGUAAGUCUGUCGUGAAAUCCCCGGGCUCAACCUGGGAAUUGCGAUGGAGACUGCAAGGCUAGAAUCUGGCAGAGGGGGGUAGAAUUCCACGUGUAGCAGUGAAAUGCGUAGAGAUGUGGAGGAACACCGAUGGCGAAGGCAGCCCCCUGGGUCAAGAUUGACGCUCAUGCACGAAAGCGUGGGGAGCAAACAGG
rnacentral:rRNA from 1 species